CAGAAAGCGGAUUUAUUUUGCAUUAUUUGCAGUCUAUUUCACUAAUUAUUCAAUUAGGGUAAUUUUUGCUGGAAGAGCAAGAUUCCUAACAAAAUAAUGAACAGUAGGAAUUCUAAGUCCGAGGGCCCAGACAGAGAGAGACCAUGAAAUUAUCCAUGAAAGUUCAUGUCCUUGAAUUCUCACCUGACAGACAUUUGUCACAAAGUUACACAAAACUGAAUGACCGCUUGAGUCACAAUCUUGAGUGGACAUUGGGCCUCAUUUAUGAAACAUUCAUAGAUAUAGGAGUAAAUUCUGCUUUGGUGGCACAGCGAUUUUCCAGCUGAGACGCUUUGGUUGCUAUAAUGUGGAAUAUCCACGGCAGUAACAUCUUACUAGUAUCUCAUUUUGAAGAUUUUAUUACUCAAUAUAAAAAUGCAGUAACCAGCAAUAUAAACUUCUCUAUUGUUCAGUUGUUGUAAGUAGGAUGAUUGGUCGGUGAAGUAGGCUAUUUGUCCCGCCCCCCUCCAUUGAUUCGACGGCUGGAUAAAAAGUGACAAAGACAAGCGCUGCGUUUUACCCAAAGUUAAACGGUUUAUCAACUCUCAACUACCAAAACACGGGCAAACAACCUUGUAAAAUAUUGUGAUGGCAUUUGCCAAAAACGUUUUAUGCACCAUUUACACAUGGUAGGGAGCAGGUGUACAUUUAUUUCGUACCAACUAACAUUUUGAAAAUACGAACACUUUCAUGAAUCCGAAAAUUCACGUCAGAACAGCUUUAUAUAUUCACUCACUGGCCACUUUUUUAGAUACACCUUGCUAGUUCCGAGUUGGACCCCGUUUUGCCUUCAGAACGGCCUUAAUUUUUCGUGGCAUAGAUUCUACAAAGUGUUGGAAACAUUCCUCAGAGAUUUUAAGCCAAAAUGAGAUGAUAGCAUCACACAGUCGCUGCUGAUUUGUCAGCUGCACAUCCAUGAUGCGAAUCUCCCGUUCCACCACAUCCCAAAGCUGCUCUAUUGGAUUGAGAUCUGGUGACUGUGGAGGCCAUUUGAGUAAAGUGAACUCAUUGUCAUGUUCAAGAAACCAGUCUGAGAUGAUUUGAGCUUUGUGACAUGGUGCAUUAUCCUGCUGGAAGUAGCCAUCAGAAGAUGGGUACACUGUAGUCAUAAAGGGAUGGACAUGGUCAGCAACAAUACUCAGGUAGGCUGUGGCGUUUAAACGAUGCUCAGUUGGUACUAAUGGG
ensembl:lncRNA